UACAAUGGGAUUUCCCCCUUUGUUUCUAAUAAAGGUUGUGACCAUUAAUUUCACAACUAGUUAAAACUUAACUUCUCUGGUGAUAAACCUUGGUUUAUCACCAGAGAAGUUAAGUUUUAACUAGUUGUGAAAUUAAUGGUCACAACCUUUAUUAGAAACAAAGGGGGAAAUCCCAUUGUA
rnacentral:pre_miRNA from 1 species